GGCUGUGACUGCAUUAACAAUAAACUCCUGGCCAACCCCAACCUUGUUGAAAUUUGCUUUUCCAGCAGGAUGCAUAUAUGUCUAUGAGGACCAAUGAGAUUCUUCCAGAGGUACUCAAAGACCUGACUGAUGCCAUUGUGAGACCCCUCUCAAUUAUUUUUCGAUGGUCUUGGGAAUUUGAAGAGGUCACAUUAAACUAGAAGACUGCAGUGAUUGCAGGCCUGUCAGCUUCAUUUUAGUGCCAGGGACCUCAGCCAAGCCCUGGCCAGCCCCCAGUUCCCCCAGACCCCUAGUUGAGCCUGUACCAAAGCACGAUGGCAGACAAGCAGUGAACAGCACUGUGGAAGAGGACAACAGCCACAAGAAAGCCAGCAGUCAGUAAAAUCUGGACAGAACAGAAGGUUUCUGCACAACCAGCCCUCCUCUGUCAUCCUUCAUGGCAGCACAGCAGACAAACGGCCCAAAACCACAGGUUACGGAUCCGAAAGAAUCUUCAAGCUGAUUUUUCCUAGGAUGUCUCAAGACUUGCUUUUGUACCCAGGGUCCAUUCCAGCCUUCCUGUUAAUUAGCUCAUCAGGAGAGAACAGCAGCAGAAGUGAGAUGAGCCCAGCAGCAGACCCUGUGUGAGACCCUGCAGCAGCAAUCACAGCUGACGCUCCAUUCUGAGCUUUUCCUGGGAGGGUGACUCUUCUAAUCCUGUGCAGGAUCUCAUCUCCAUCGUUCAGUAUAUCUGUGCAUAGUUUUGCAGUGCAAAACGAGUUGCAGGUAGAUCUUUUAGCAUAUUUUGCAGUGGUCCUGUGUGACUCUGUUGUGCGCAUAAAAUUCGGAAGCAGAAUAACUCAAGCUUUGAAACCUUUCUCUCUAGUUAGAGCUUGAUGGAGUGAACCUAAUAUGCUAUAGCUAAAGAAAUGUGGCUAGUUUUAGGCAAUGCUGCUAAUAAUUGCUGCAUCUGUUUGCAGAAACUUUCGCUGUUCAUUUUUUAGUGAUACCAUGAAGGCAAAUACGUAUUAUGCCCUUACACAUGAGCUUCAUUUUCUGCAGAACCGAAGUUGCUAAGUGCAUUCCUUACGCUUACAUGUCGUUUGGAAACAGAUAAUUGGAUCUACGAAGAAAGAUGAACAAACUGGGGAGUUUCAGUGUGAACUGGAAUGGGUGGGAGAAGGGGAAUGAUGUGGUAGCAUUCUUUAAAGAAAUAACUGCUGCAAAGAGAGAGACUGAUUGUCUUCCAUGCAUGUAGAAGAUAGGAAUUCAUGCAUAUAAAAUAAAGUAUAAAAUAUUCACUUUACUCAUUUAGGAGCUUUAAAAAAAUGCGGGCUGUGGAGCACUGGAGUAGGUUUCUAAUGCAACAGCAAUGUCUCCAUCUUGGGGGGCUGCAAGGAGCACUGGGACCAGCAGCUGUGGGGUGGGACUUUGUGGGUUUGAUUCUGCAGGGCUGGGGACAGAAUGGGUCAGCUCCAGACUCUGCCAUUACCCAAGCUUCUGCAUUCAUGACUCAAAAUUGCAGUGCUGCACUGUGAAGGUGGAGCUGCUGCUGGGCAUUCUCAGCCUCCAUCACAGCACUGAGACUUCACAUGGGUUUGGAGAAGAGGAAAGGUCAUUGCUGUGCUGGAUCACUUUCAGUCAAGAUGAAUGGGGGCAAAGGAUGCUUGUUGUAGAGGUAGGAAAUUGCCACCUCUUAAUUUGCUGCGAAAAAGAAACUGAGGUUUUGCAGACCCUGCAAAUUGGCUGCCCAGCACGAUAGUAGGAAUGCAACAUCCCCCAAAGAGAAGAUUGACGCCAGCUGUUGGACUCCAGAGAAUUUUAGUAGGCAGUCUCCUGUUUAUUUUCUUUCCCAUUCAGGCUUAGAGAGGUUAACAGUAUGGGAGAAGAGGAAGCCAUCCUGACAUUGCUCUCAGGGAUAAGAACUGGGAAAAGAUUGUACAGCUUACAGGAUGAGAAAGAAAUUAAACCUCAGCAUACAAAAAUCCAAUAUCCCAGCUGCAGGCUCAUCCACUAGGUGAAACCAAUCUAAUUUGUUGGUCUCUUUAUUCCCAAAGCCUCCUGAGACCUUGGAGUAAAAGAAAGCAGCUGCCCAGAGAGGAAAAGAAAAAAAAAGUUUCCAGCCCAGAGGAGCAAAGGGUAUGUCACAUUUAUUUAAAAAGAGACAGGGAACAGUGAAAGAGAAGGCAAUCUUGGGUGCCUUCAAGCACUGCCACACAGAUCCUGACAGAUAAGCCUGUAUUGUCAGAGCCUUAGGUUCUCUGAAACAGUUCUAAUGCUGGCUGAGAGCUGUGCAUGAUGGCAGUGGGAGGAAAAGCCUUGGAGCUAUCGCUGAUCCAAAUGUAGAGCAAGAGCUGGAACAGCAGCUCCCAGCCUAUUGCUCACAGCCAGAAAUCUGCAGGGACCUUCCUGCUUUGCUCCCAGCAGCUGCAGAGGAGAAACUUGCAGCCCACCAGCAUGGAGUGCAAGCACUGUGCUGCUCAUAGAAACAGAGGGGGGACAGGGGAGAAAAUGCAUUGCUCAGGGGGUGAGGAGGGCAGGAGAGCAGCCUGAAGGAGGAGGAGGAAUGCCUCUUGGUCACCAGGUGCCUGCAAGGGGCAGUUGUCCACGGGCCAGCUUGUGGAAGGGAGCUGAGAUUAAAGUGCUUUAGAAUAUGAAUGUGGUUUCCUUAAUACCCUGAAAAAGCAGACUGUCCAUCUAUCACAGAGAAAGAGGACUGGCUAGUCAGCUGCAAUUGGCAAGUUUUCAUAAACACUUAUGCUCCUGGGAACUGUCAUGAAUAUUCCGUCAGCGCAGAGGAAGGGAUUCACAGACUGCCCCCCAGACAUGCAGGAUUUUAUACAGCAAACUGCUGCAGCUCUCCUAGAAUAGCCAAAGCCUCAACAAGACUAUUCAACAGCAUCAGUCACUGUGCUUUCACUCCGAACUGUGCUUCCCGAUACACCGAUGGCUGGAUAAGAGCAGCCCCAUUGUGUGCAGUGCACAUUGCUGUUGGCCUUUGUUGAACUUGGUGCACUUCUACAGCCCUGUUGUCCAGAACAGCAAUUGUCCCCCCCAGAAUUAUGGGGAAGGCACUCCGAAAUCUGUGCUCUCAAGGACAGCGAUCUUAUGCUGCAAUCCCUGCAAGAACCUCAGUAUACUCCUGUGCAAUUUAAAACAUCAAUUACUAAGAUUGCUUUUAAUUGAAAUGUAGUGGAGUCUGUAUCCUGUGCUUCAGACUUCGCACAAACUGAAAUUUCUGGUGCCUGACCUGCUCAUAUAUUUAAAUAUCCCUUUCCUCAUUCAUAAUAGAGCUGGUAGAAUUAAUACAUUAUUCAGUGAUUUAGUCCUUCCAUCCAUGAUCCAAACCCAUUUUCUGUAAAUGUAUUCAUUGCUUCCUCAUGUUUGUUGACUUGUUAUGUGAAGGACGUUCAGCCUAUAUAGAGCAUUAGGGAGCGUUUUGCUUUGUUUGCAAAAUGUUAUCCGUGGUGGGGAGGUCAUUGGAGUCUCAAAGUAUUGUUCCCACCACCCAAAUCUUUUUAAACGAAGGAUUAGUGAAUUGCAAAUGCAGACACUGAACACCAAGUCCUAGCUACAGAAUAUUGCAUAGUAAGUAGUAAGUCCUACUUCCAGUUCAAGAAAUUAUCAUUGCCACAGAAAUGUCAGUUUGGUUUUCUUUUCUGGGGUGAAGUUGAGAUUGUUUCCCAAAGGAAAGGCUGUGGAGGUGAGCAUCCUGAAUUCCCCCUAACGCCCAUGGCACAUGGUGGGAUUGCACAAAACCCCAUAUCAAGUGGGAGCUUUUCAUGAAGAUGCCUUCUUUCCAUGAAGAACCUUCAUGAAGAUGCUUGUUAUUCAGGUGGCGUUUUCAUUGUGGAAAAUCCCUCACAUUAUGAGGUAUCUCACAUUUGAGGGGUGCCCAAGGCACACCCUAGAGAGCAAAUGUGUAGAAGUGCAGCCACUUUGCUCACGACAGCACUGAAACAUGCUCUGAGCAGAAUCGUACCCUGGUACGAUCCCAUGGUGGAGCUGAGCCCCAGGAGCUUCUGAGCACAGCCUGAGUCUUUGCUGCCCACAAGCAAGGAGUGCUGGCAGGGCUGCGCUGGAGGCCUGCAGGGUCUCUGGGUGCUGGGUGCCCCCCUGGCACCUUCUGGGUAGCAGAGCAGCCCCGUCCUGACCUGUUCUCCCAGGAAACACCCAGUGGUGGCAACGAGGUCCUGGAAUUUCACCCGCAGCCCUGCCCACCCCGCUAAAGAAAUCCCAAUCGAUAUUCUCCAUUAGGGAGUUGCUGGAGUGGAAGCAAUUUGGCCAGGUGUAGUUGCUGGAGGUCUGUUCUUCAUCGUGCUUCUGACUGCAAAGGCUCUUAGGGUGAAGGAUUUACAGCGUUUUGGAGAGAUAGGGUUAUCCUUCACAAGACAGGAACAUUGACAAGCUGCGCCUCUUCGUCUUCAUUCCGCUCCUGAAAUCCCUCUUGAUUCAUUACAGCGUGUCCUUCUUGUUGGUGUAAUGAAAUAUAAAUGUUUAUGUUGAUAUAUAAAGAUAGCAACAUUGAUUUUCUUUUCUGCAGUAGAUUUGAUUACUAUCAAGCUCCAAAAGCCUUCCUGAGGUCUUUUUUUUUAAUUUAUUUUAUUGCAACAUCUUUUCAAACUCACAACGUUUUCCUAAUUGUAUUUUCUGCUGAGAGGAGCACGGGGAAGAAUUGGGAAAGGAUGCAGGUGAGGUCCCAGAGGGGCCAUUCUGACACAUUGAAAUGUUGAGAUGCUCUGAUUUUACAAAGACUGUACUUCACAAAUUACAUAUUUGCAAAAACUUCCAGAUGAAAUUAUAAAUAUAACACUGCGAGCAAAGUUCUUUCACAUUUAUUACAACUUCCUCUAGAUUUUCAUCUCAUUUUGUAUCCCCAGGGAUUGGGAGGUUUGCUGGUAUUCUGACACUAUUCGUAUUCCUGUUUCAGUAUGCGAUAUCUUCCAUUUGUACUGAUGAAUGAAUGGUCAGGUGUGGUUAAGUGUACAAAUGAUUUAAAUAUGCUCAAAAACAAGGCCAGCUUCAGCACGUAGACAGCACAUGCCUCUCUGUGUUCAAUUUGUGCUGGUCGUGAACCUGAAGAAAAAUCUCCUAUUGGAAACCUUUGUGGGAACUGAAGUGUUUGGUAUCUAGAAGCUCAUUUCACACCUCCACUUAACUCAGCCUUUUACAUGCCCUGCUCUGGUCUGUAGAAUGGGAAAAGAAUAAAAUAAACA